AUUCUACAAUUAUUAAUUGGCAAUUGGCAGCUCUCGUUCGUCUAGCUCAACUUUACUUUCUUAGUCAACUUUCCAAGUAAGAGCAAGAUCAUAGCUGCUGCAGCCAUGGCAGAUGUAGCAGUGAAAUUUCUAGUAGAAAACUUGAUGCAAUUAUUACGCGACAACGCCGGCUUUAUUGUUGGAAUAAAAGAUGAAGUUGAAAAUUUACUACAAGAGCUGAAUGACUUCAAUGCUUUUCUCAGACAAGCAGCUGAAUGCAGGAGUGACAAUGACGUUUUGAAAUCACUUGUAAAGACCAUCAGAAAAGUGGUGAAUGAUGCUGAGGAUUCAAUUGCUAAGUUUGUGAUUGAAGCUAAGAGACAUGAUGAUAAAAAUAAAUUUGCUCAGUGGUUUCAUCUGACUCAUGUUGCUAGAACUAAAGAGGUUGCUGGUGAUAUUGAAUUUGCAAGGGAAAAGGUGAAGAUAAUUCGCCGAGAUAAUACUUAUGCACUUCAAGCUAUUUUUUCUGAUGAUGAUUCCAGCAGAGGCCCUCAGGAGAGGAAGGUCCCUGUAGUAGAGGAAGACGAUGUGGUAGGCUUUGAUGAGGAAGCGAAAACUGUAAUCGAUCGUCUCAUUGGAGGAUCAGAUCAUCUUGAGGUUGUACCAAUCACUGGUAUGCCUGGUCUUGGAAAAACAACUUUGGCAUAUAAGAUUUACAAGGAUCCUAAGGUUGAGUGUGAGUUCUUCCCCUGCAUUUGGGUAAAUGUCUCUCAAUUGUACAAGCGAAGGGACAUAUUUCUGAACAUCGUCAGCAAAUUUACUCGAAACACCAAACAGUACUAUGAUGUACCAGAGGAGGAUUUAGCAGAUGAAGCACGUGAGCUUUUGGGGAAGGGUGGGAAGUAUCUUAUUGUUUUAGACGAUGUGUGGACAAUUGAAGCUUGGGAUCGCAUCAAAAUUGCUUUCCCCAAUAACGGUAAAUGCAGUAGAGUCUUGAUGACCACUAGGAAAUUCAAUGUUGCCAGAUAUUGCAAUGAUAGACCUCAUGAUCUAAAGUUUUUGACUGUGAAUGAAAGUUGGGAGCUACUUGAGAAGAGAGUUUUUCACAAGGAAAAAUGUCCAUCUGAGUUAGAAUUACCUGGAAAAUCUAUAGCCAAAAAAUGUAGGGGCUUACCACUUGCGAUAGUUGUUAUUGCCGGAGCUUUGAUAGGCAAAGGAAAGACGACAAGGGAGUGGGAGCUGGUGGCUGACAGUGUGGGUGAGCACCUCAUAAAUAGAGAUCCAGAGAACUGCAAGAAAUUGGUGCAGAUGAGUUAUGAUCGUUUGCCUUAUGAUUUAAAGGCGUGCUUCUUAUAUUGUGGGGCUUUUCCUGGCGGUUCUGAAAUUUCAGCUCGGAAGUUGAUUUGUUUAUGGAUAGCGGAAGGAUUGAUACAAUACCAAAGACCAUUGACUCUAGAGGAUAUAGCAGAGGACCACUUGAAUGAUCUUGUCAAUAGGAACUUAGUGAUGGUAAUGCAAAGGAGUUCUAGUGGUCAAAUCAAAACAUGUCGUGUUCAUGACAUGUUGCAUGAUUUCUGCAGACAUGAGGCUAUGAUGGAGGAAAAUCUAUUCCAAGAAAUCAAACGAGGGCAAGAACAUUUUUUUCCAGAGAAACAAGAGUUAGCCACUUAUCGUCGCUUGUGUAUUCAUUCAUCUGUUUCUGAAUUCUUGUCAACAAAACCCUUUGGUGAGCAUGUUAGGUCGUUCUUAUGCUUUGCCUCGAAAAAAUUUGAGAUGCCUUUAGGUGAUAUAAUCCCCCGAGCCUUUCCCUUGCUUAGGGUACUAGAUGCGGAAUCAAUCAAGUUCAGUCGUUUUCCUAAAGAAUUCUUCAAAUUAUUCCAUUUGAGGUACAUUGCUUUCUCAACUGACUCGAUUAUGACCAUUCCUACAAACAUUGGGAAUCUUUGGAAUGUACAAACACUUAUAAUUGAAACACAACUGGGUACUCUUGACAUUAAAGCAGACAUUUGGAAUAUGACAAGAUUAAGGCAUGUGUGCACAAAUGCCUCUGCUAUAUUGCCAUCCCCUAAGCACCCCAAGAGCAGAAAGGGGGUGAAUCAUUACCUACAAACACUUUCUACUAUAGCACCUGAAUGUUGCACUGCAGAAAUUUUUACUAGAACUCCUAAUCUCAAGAAAUUAGGUGUUCGUGGAAAAAUAGCUGCACUUCUAGAAGCCAGCAAGGACGGAUCUGGCUCUGGUUUGUUCAGCAACAUAGGUAAGUUAGAGUGCCUCGAAAAUCUGAAGUUGGUAAAUGAUACUCGUCAAAGUGGUAAACAGCUACACCUUCCUCCAGCAUAUAUUUUUCCUCAGAAGCUGAAAAAGCUCACUCUGAUAGAUACUUGGUUAAAAUGGAAAGAUAUGUCUAUAUUAGGUCUAUUAGAGUACCUUGAAGUGCUGAAGUUGAAAGAAAAUGCGUUUAGGGGACAGUCGUGGGAACCAGACGAUGGUGGUUUUCCUCGUCUGCAGGUCCUAUGGAUUCAGAGGACAGAUCUCUCUUCUUGGAAGGCCUCAUCCUUGAACUUUCCACAACUAAAACGCCUUGUUCUUAUAUCAUGUGAUAAGCUUGAGGAACUCCCAGCUGCACUUGCUGAUGUGCAAAGCCUCCAGCUAAUGGAACUUCACUAUACCAGUGAAUCUGCCGCUAAAUCUGCACGAGCAAUACUAAAGAAGAGACUAAGAAAAGAAGAGGGUAGCACUAACAGAUGCGGAUGCAAGCUUUCUGUAUUCCCUCCAGAUCUUGGAUUGUAACUUUAAGAACUGCUUCAUUGGCACUUGACAGGGGUUUUUGCCAAUUCUGAUACUAGAGGCACUCUGCAAUGAAUCAACCUUUCUGCUUGCUACUACAUUUGCCUCACUGGCUUUAACAGAGGUGUCUCCUGCAUUUUGUUUCAAGUAGGAUGAGCUCCAAAAUAAAAACUGCAUUUGGUUUCAAAUAGACUUCCACUGCAGUCUGCCAAAAUGCAAAUCAGCUAGAAGCAUUCUUAUAUAUUGUUGUCUGGAUAUAUUUACACUAAAGCAGAGCCUAAAGAAUUUCAUCGACUAUUGUUCUCUUAUUUCUAUCCCUACUGUUGCCAUUUUGAUUGUGACUUGUGUCGUGAUCUUUCUUUGUUUUUCUUUAAAUCUUUUUUUUUUCUCCUCUCUGGAUUGAGCUCCUGAUGCACAUGGAUGAUUCGCUGCGGAACAAUGAAUACUGUCUCUAUGGUUAUUUUGGAGUGUAAAUAUUUUUCUUUAUGUUGCAACACUAUAAAAUACUUGCAAUGGCGGAUGCAGAAUUUUGAGCAAGUAGUGUCGACAUAUUAUUACACCUCAAUUUGGAUGUGAGUUUGGGCCUAGAGCUGUGAAGGUAUUGAACGACAACCUUUGCAGAAUCUGAUACAGUCAUACCGCAUGAAUUUUGCUUCUCUUUUUUAUGUUGAUUUCAACAAUAAAAGGUCAUAUUCCAGAAAUUUGAUCUGAAUGCAAAACAUCUUGUUAUGGCUGAUGGAUCUAUGAUUGUCAAAUAUAAGUGGAAGGUCAGUUUUACAGAAAUAAAGUUGACAUGAUUGUACUCUUUAGGCACUCUUUAGGCCUUUGUUGAUGAUAUUUUUUGUUAUUAAAAGGACCUUGUUAAUCCUU